AGGAGGGAGGAGAUGGGCCAAGUUCCCUCUUCCUGGAACGCCCUUCCCCCCCUUCUUCA
rnacentral:pre_miRNA from 1 species